AACACGUACACAACUUUCCUUUAUCUGGUGAAUAGCCCUCCGAAAGGAGGAUUAAUACACCGUAACAUAAUGAAGUGGCAUCACUUUAUUAUUAUAGCUCCGGCGGUUUUGGAUGAGCGUGCGGCUGAUUAGAUAGUUGGCGGGGUAACGGCCCACCAAGUCUGCGAUCAGUAACUGGUGUGAGAGCACGACCAGUCACACGGGCACUGAGACACGGGCCCG
rnacentral:rRNA from 1 species